GCCCCCUCCCUCCGCCGGGCUGCCGGGUCACCCGCUCCGUGUGAGAAAUUAAACGCUGUUAAUCCGUUAGCCUCAUCUUCCCCGUUUACGAGAGAGCGAGGAAGACUUGCUAAUUAAUGUGCAUACGAGGGAAUGAGCUCUGAAGGAAGGAAAAAAUACCCCGUUGCACCUGCUCCGCUGAGACUUGGCAUCUGAAUCUGGAGGAGAGCUAUAAAUCAUGUAAAGUGUUCGCGGUGGAGUCGGCUUCUGAGAGCUGUAGGAUUAUGUAUCCAAAUGCUGAAUUUAUAUUUCCCACUAGGAAAAGACUGAAACUCAGAUGCUUCAGAAACUUGCUGUGUGUUUACCACGGGUUCUGCCAGCCAGCUCAAGAGGGGACUUACCUAUUCUUUCGUUAGCCAAGCAUUACAUUAUCUUGAACUAAUUAUUCCUCUACACAUGGCCUUCCUACUGGUGUCAGCUUAUCUUCUGCUGACUCAUGCUCAGGGUGCUCCUGUUGAGAAUGGGGCACUGUUGGAAACACUGAAGUCACAAGUAGGAUUAUUCAGCAAUAAAAGUGAACACUAUUCAGCACAGGUGAGACCUCCUGGCACAAGCCGACAAAUACCUCAGACAAUCAUCAUAGGAGUUCGUAAAGGAGGGACAAGGGCUUUGCUGGAAAUGUUGGAUAUUCAUCCUAAUAUUGUGGUGGCAGCUACAGAAGUCCACUUCUUUGACUGGGAUGAAAAUUAUGUGAAAGGAAUAGACUGGUAUAGAAGUCUAAUGCCAUUUUCUUAUGGAAAUCAAAUUACAAUUGAGAAAACACCGGGCUAUUUUACAUCACCACAGGCUCCAGGAAGAAUUCAUGACAUGAAUAGCUCCAUUAAACUGCUGCUCAUUCUGAGAGAUCCCACUGAGAGAGUUAUAUCUGACUAUACCCAAGUAUAUUACAACAGAGUAGAAAGUCACAAGCCUGUUCAGCUUUUUGAAGAUAUUGUUAUUAAGAAUGGAGCACUUAAUACCAAAUACAAAGCUAUUCAGAGAAGUCUAUAUGAUGUUCAUAUGGAAAAGUGGCUUAAGCAUUUCAGUUUGGAUCAAAUUCACAUAGUGGAUGGCAAUACUUUAAUCAAGGACCCUCUUCCUGAGUUACAGAAAGUUGAAAGAUUUCUAAAUCUUCCUUCCCAAAUUAUGUCUUCUAAUUUUUAUUUUAACCAAACCAAGGGAUUCUACUGCAUUAGAAGUGACGGAAGGGAGAGAUGUUUACAUGAAUCCAAAGGGCGUCCCCAUCCUCUUGUUAACAGCACUGUUUUAGAGCAACUGUAUUCUUACUUCAGAGAGCACAAUGCAAAAUUUUACAGGAUGGUUAAUCAUUCCUUUGACUGGCAUUAAUGCAUUUGGAAUCAGUGUUUCUUUCAAAGGGCCUGCAACAAACUGUUUCAAACAUAUCUUUCUAAAUUGCAGAGAUUCAUACUAUGAGAACUUAGCAUACUGGUAGUGUGGUUCAUGGGAAUAACAUACCUGUUCAUUCAUUGAAAUGGUACCCUUUAGGUUGGGGAAAAAGAAGUUUCACAUUUGUAUGAUUACUGUGAAUCAUAUUCUGAUCUUCAUCUUCUCAUCAUGCAAAUACAUUGACUUCAGCAGACGUCUUUCAGAUAUGCAUCUGUUACAAAAUUUGUGCUGUUUUGGAAAAGUGACUGCUUCUAACCAUGUAAAAAUGUAAAUAUUUGAAGUGGUAUUAUUCUACCUGUUCUGUAUUUUUUGUUCUUAGUAUUUUUUAUAUCACGCACAAUGAUAGAGGUGUUGAUUUCUAGAAUUUUUCAUACAGUAAGUUAAAUUGUAUGUUAAAACAGGUGCAUACAUAGUGGCUCCAAUAAGUAAUUCAUCUACUGCUAAUGCUGAAUUAAUUAAUAAUAAAAGGAAUCUAUUUCAUCUGUGGUUUUGAAUAGGUGAAAUAGAAGCUCCCUGUCUGUAGAUCAUUAGUAUUAAACUACACUCUUACUAUCUUGGGUUUGCAAAAAAUAAAAAUAAAAAUAAAAAUAUCUCCAAACAAAGUAAGAAUAUGAACUGUCUGAAGUUUAAGGUGAGAGUUUUGAAUGUAAAGAAAUUAAAAUAUCAACCUCAAUUUGCACUGUUAUUCUGUACACUAAAGAAAAAAAAACAAACCAACACACACACAAAAAAAAAGGCCAACAACAAAAAUGCAAAAACAUUAUUCAUAUUAGGAACCGUACAAAUAUUUGAUUAUAAAAAUUAUGUUGCUUUGCUCUUGAAUAGAAAAGCUUCUCAUUAGUACUACCACAUGGAUCAUGUUUGUAUUCUGUUGUUAUUCUGUUGUUUUGGCUUUAGUUUACACAUCUCCAUUGGCACACCAAUUCUUGAUAAGGAAAAAAAAAAUUUGCUUGCCCUCUAAAGCAUGGGGUAUUUUUAUUUUGUCAUUUCUAAUGCAGACCAUGGGAUGUUCUCACAGUUAAAAUAACGUCUUGUUAUGCUGUAUAUCUCAAGACAUGGUGUUCCAUAUGCUAGGUAUGAUAUACUUGGAUUAUAUAUAAAAAACAUCUAUCUAUACUCCUGCAUUAGGAAUUUUUUACUUGGUUUUUUUGAUGGUAUUGUACUCAUCUGUUCUCCAUUUUCAUGUAAACAUGUUAUUAUAUCUCAAUACCAAAGAUCAACUUCAAAAUGUUAAAUAUGGUGCCAGAUAGAAAUACAGAUGCAGAUGUGCUUGUUUGACAUUGUACCUUGCAAUUCAGAAACUCUGGUGCACCCCUUUAGUAGAAGCAUUCAUUAGGUGCAUUCCUCUUCAAGCUUCUCAGAACACUGGUGAGUUAUGGUUGUGUGGGCCCACUCUGAUCCUCGCAGCAUCAAACUCCACUCAACACUGCUGUGGAUCCUGGAUCUGUGUCCUUCUGUCUAAGCCACUGUUCAGCCUAUAGGAGCACAUGUUCCUAAUAUGAGAUUCAGUCUUCCACUUCACAGGCUAAAAGGCAUCAAGUUUUUCUCUUUCUUCUCUGAAGUUUACAGCAGAUCUUUAGACGAGUUGAAUGCAGGAACACCAGUUGGCAGAAGCUAUAUGCAUCUUUGAAAAUGCAGGUCCCUUUCUGGAAUUUACAUUUCAAGGACAGCUGAUCUGUAUAGAUUAGUGAUGCAUAUAUCUACUUGAUUUGUUAUCACUCUUCAUUCCUGCUCAGCAUUUCUGGGAAGGACAGAGUUGAUGGAAUUAAUUCAAUGAUCACUUUAGAGUUUACUAAUACCAGAAGAAAUAUAUUAUGCAUAUUAUAAUUUGAGUGAGGGGUUGUUUGGUUUGGUUUUACAUAAAUCAAGAUACUCAUCUAAAGUUUUGUUUUGGUGAAUGGUCUAAAACCUCAACCUCUGCAUUACAGAAUUCAAUACAUAUAUCAGACUAUAACAUUACAAACUGUUUCAAUCAGUUUCUCAUUUUGUGGUCUGAGAAAUUUAUCUAUCUCAUGCAGUCCUGCCUGACCACCUCCAUUCUUACUGUCUUCAAGAAAACCCUCCUUUCCUCCUCCUCAGGAGGGAGAUCAGAUCAACUUAAAGCAGAUCCACUGAGCCAUAGUUCAGUAAUGCUGAAAUAAAAAGCACUCAAUUUUUGGCACUUGGAAUUGAAAAGUAGUCAAAUUUUGGAAAGAACUGGAGGCUCACAAUCAGUUCAAAGAUGUUAUUAAUUAACAAGUCAGAUCUCAAUUUAAGAAAUUACAAAUAUCUCAUAUAAAUUUCCACAAUUGAUUGCAAACUAUAACCUAUUCUUUUCUUAAAUUGGUCAUUGACAGGCUUUCAUCUCAUUACCUGAUUCUCAAGAGGUGUUUGCAGGAAUAAAUUUCAUGUGGAAAGGUUGCUUAAAAAGAUUAUGCAGUUGUUUCAAAGGGUUUUGGGAGCAUCUGAAACAGAUGAUACAGUCACAUGUGUAAGACUACUGCAGAAUUUACGAUGAUCUGAGCAGCUCUUUGAUGCUGUUUUGCAUUCCACAAGUAUUAAGCUUUCACUUUAAAAACAAUUCCUUUCCUUUUUCAGUUAAAAUGCUUUAGUUAUCACUAAUAUCACUAAGAAUUAACAAUAUCAAACAACUGCAGCUAUAACUGUAUCAGUUUAGCCUUUGCCACAGUAAGAAGCUCACUCACACUUAAUACUUAGAUAAGUCUAAUAUUAGUAUUUUUUUAUACAGACUACCUAUAUUACCUAUAAUACAUAAAGGAAAAGUGUUGAGAAGCUCAAGUGGUAGGGGUUUGCACAAAAGAGCUCUUAGCACUUAACUAAUGGGAAGAAAACAAAAAGGUUCCUCUACUGCACUCACCCCCAUUAUUUUACCACCAAGAGGGCUGGAUUUUUUCGUUGUGUCCUCUGUAUCUAACUGCUCAGAGGCCUUGGGCUGGCUUCUGGUCUUUUUUUUCAUAGUUUAGCCUUGAUAGAGCAUUUACAGUUCCUGUUAAAGAAUAUAUAUGAAAGCAGAGACAUUUUUGGAAUAUCCAUAGUUCUCCAUGGUGGAGAACUUUACAGAGGGUGUACGCUUAGUGCGCUUCAUUGUAUGCUGCUACACAACAUCAACUCCUUCGCUAUCUUUUUGAUACAAAGCCGAUAGAUAAUCUUAUAAAAUGCAUUGAAGAAAGAGUAGAUUGACUAUUGUAGGGAACUGCAUCUGCAUACAGAGUUUUCAGUCUUCAUGCACAUUUCAAGAGCGUAGCAGAAAAAAAUUUUAAAAUUGGGUUGUUUCCAGCAAGUUUGACUGCUUAUUCCCUUUGCCAAUUUAGAUGCUGCUUUCGUGAGUUGGACAAAAAUUUUGAUAUUGUAAUAAUCCCUAUAAUUUCUUGUGUGGUACAAAAAAAAAAAAAGUUAUUACUUUGUGGGAUCACAGUUAAAAAAAAAAAAGAAACACCAAUAUCUUGAUUCAUAGAUUCAUAGUAAGAGUAGCACAAUAACAAUAUCACAAUAAUAUUUCCUUGCAUAGAAAGAAACAAAUUAUUUAAGUAAAGAUUAUACUCUUGUAAACUAUUUUUUUCUAUACUUGUGGAUUUGAUCCUUCAUUUCCUUCAAAAGUUUGAAAUUUAUUGUAGAAAUGAACAAACACAUUGAAAUCAAAAUUGGUAAUAAUUUGCCUAGCAACAGUAAUCAUUGCCAGUAGUUAAUGGCCAAUAUUUAGUUACCAGCCAAAUAACUUCGCUUCAAUUAUUUCAAGUUUCAAUGUGACUUGUUAAACUGUUUUGCAACUUUAUAAAACAAAUUUAAAAGUUAGAGCUAACAGUGGAUAAAAAGACUCUGUAGUAUCAUUCUGUGAUUGUAGACGAAUUGUCAUGUCUUUAAGGUUAAUUAACAGUGAAAUAAGCUUGCCUCAAUUCCUGAAAAAUUUUGGAAUGCAAGAUGCUAACAGAACUGCAAGGUAUAAAUUACUAGUUGAAGUUGAAUCCACUACUUAGGGAAAAUACAACAGAUUAAAACACACUGACAUAAAUCAUACUUUGCUGAUAAAAUAGAUAUGAUGUAAAAUGUACAGUAUCUCGUGUAUUAGCCUGUGUAACAAGUACUAUGAAGUCUAUUUUCUGAUGCAGAAUGGUCUUAAACUUUUACGUUGUGUGUUCUUUUAGUUCCAUUACAAAAACCUCUCAGUAAGUGUUUAAAGAAAAACAUCUUUAUGUAAAGUCUUUACCAGUGCAUUUUUUUCUCUCAAAGGGCAUUUCUCUGGUUUUGUAUUGUUUUCUCUGAGAUAAAAAGGUGGUUUGAGUCACACUGCAAUAAAUGUAGAGUUAUCAUACCAGAAUUAAAAAUAUUACUUCUGUUUAUUACAGUUCUCAGUGAAGAACAUUUUUAUGUAGGGACAUAAUAGUUUAACAAUCUCCGUAUUUUCUCUCUUUUCAUUAGGUAAUGUGACUAAGUUUUAGUUUUUCUUAUUUGGAAGGAUGUUAUUCUAAACUCUUUCACUGUUACCCAAAAGCACAGACUUGCAGAUUUAAGUUAAAUGGCAGUAAUAAAAGGGAAGGAUAGAUACUUAAGAAUCCAUUCCCUUUGCCACUCAGACUGGCCAAGAUUUUCUUAUUUUUUAACUCUUUUGAUGUGAACAUUUUGAUCCAUUAUAAACUUUCCAUUAUGAUACAUCUAGGAUGUAUCAGCCGAACUUGCAAUAGGAGAAAAUAAGGUGAGUGCAACUAAAUGCAAUCAAACCUGAGCUGAAAGGCCUUUUCUGCUAAAUAUUUGUUGACAUAGUAUGGCACAGUUACAAAUUAAAAUUAUGGUUGGCCUGAUAAAACAAUGCAUAGGACUAAGUCACAUGCUACUCCCUGGAUUUAUCUAGGUAUUCUACAUACCUGAAUUAACUUUACAAUCAUUAGGCUAUUAGGGACAUAUGUGAAUAUACAUUUUUAAAACCCUGUAUUUCACUUUACUAGGGAAUAUUACAAUUCUGUAGGAAAGGUUGAAUAUAUUAUGUCUGUCCCUGUGUGAAAUGCUUCUGUACUACCAAGGCAAAUUGGAUGGGAAGUAACAAUUCUCUAAACUAAGUUUUGGGCAUUUUAAAAUUCUGUAGGAAAAACUUGCAGCACUAGAUGUAGCAGGUUUGGUUUUGAUUUGACAAGGACUGCCAGCCUAGAAAAAUGCUGUGCAACUGUCAUGAGAAGAUUGAAGAUACCUUUUCUGUACUCUGCCAAGACACAAAUCUACAACUCAAGACAAGUGACACAGAUGGAAAACUGUAAACUACAUGGGGUGCAUUGCUGCCUUGAGUGAAGAAGGAUUAAAGGCUCAUAAACAACAUAUGCUAUAGUUACACAAGCACGCACCAUACACAGCUUGCACAAUAGACGCAGCCUAAACCGAAACCAAGUAGCAUCUACAGCUGUGCACUGAAGUGAUCCUGUUGAAGGCGUACUGAAC